AUGCUGCAGGAUGGGGCCUUGACAAAGGGGAAAUCUAUAGUGGCAGGAAAACAGAAAAAAAACAGAAAGGUAUACAGUUAAAAAAGCAAUGUUGCUGAGUAACCCAGCCAUUAAAAAAGGGAUGUUGAGUUCUCUUCGUAGAAUUUCUCUCUCUCCUCUAUUUAAAUUGCUCACCAAUAACUAAACCCGGUUUCCAUUUUUUACUAUAUUCUGCUUUAUUCUGUUCAUGUUCUUCCCUCUUUCUCCCUUGUUCUUUUUCAUCAGGCAUUUUUUAUUACACAUAG